GCUGAGUCCUGUGGCACACACCUGUGAUGCCUACUACCAGGGAGUCUUAAUAUUGGUGGAUCUUUUGAGGAUGGAAGUUCUAAGCAGCAAGGGGCUAAGCCAAUCAGGUGUCUGAAAUAAGUUUGGCUUUAAUAUCGUGAGCCUCCAGGGAAGGGAAGAUGCGCUGGGUUGCCUAAGGAGGGGUGAACCAACAGAGGUCAGAAAUAAAACAGUUAAAGCUCAUGGGCUGAUCACAAUGGGAUCAAGCAUGCAAAUAGCCCCAGCAUUUCCAGCCAGAGCAAGGAUAUUAUUUUUAAU
rnacentral:SRP_RNA from 1 species